CCGCCCUUCCCGACGAGUGGAGAAGCCCGCUGCAUUUUGCCAGGAAGGGCGAGACGCGGCAGUGCAGGCUGGAUGCUCCGAUGGGAGAGGCCUGCUGUGCUAGAGCAACCACUGAGCUGACUUGCGUCGGAUAAUACGCAGUGUAGUUAUGAUGGAAAUGGUGGCAGUGAAAGCAGUUGUGACAAAAGCAGGAACUAGAAGAUGGUGGUCAUGGAAAGAAAAAGGAGGAGGUGAUGGGAGGAGAACAUGGAUGGUUCUGUGCUAUCUAGUUCACAAAUGCCUCAUUUGGGGAAGAGGGUACUGAAAGGCUGGCAUUGCAUUGUCAUUCCAAACAUAAAACACUGCAGCACAGAUUAGGUGGUUAAAAGGCUCAGCAAUUUCCCACCUUGCCAUAUAUACUUGCAGAAAGUUCCGAAGCAAAUGCUGCAGCCCACGGAACUAUUUGCUUCAUGUUGCUGAAAUAGGGUGCCAGAUGAGGUACUGUCACCUUGUUCUUUACGCAAGUGCUUCUCAUUUGCUUGAGUAAUUCUUUUGCUUCCCUUUCUCAUCCCCUCCCUCCAAAGAAUAGGUGUGAUUAAUAGGUACAAACUGAGCACCACAAAAGAACUUUUCACUUGAGUGUGUCGAAAAUGGAAGAAAAAGGCCAAUUCUACAGUACGCAUUUUGCCAAAGGAUGAAAUGUAUUAUCUGCCCUCCCCGCUUACUCAGGAGCAGAGCAAUUUCUGCUGCUUCUUGUUCCACCACUUACAUUUGUCUCCAUUUGGAGACAGGAUUGUUUUCCUCUCCUCCCUCCAAAUAUUAAUGUGGCUUCAUUUUUGCAAAGUUUGAUGUUCUAAAAAGGGAGCAUAUCAGGCUCCUUCUGAGCUCAGAAGGUCCAAGAAUUUGCAUGUACUUUUAAACAACUGGAGUGAGGAUGGUGACUUGGAUCAGAGCCAUGAUGAAAAUAACCCCCUAACCCUCAGCAUUGAGGGCUUCCCUUUUGAGGCACAUUGCAGCUGUAGGAGGGAGAAAAUGAAAAAGUGGAUUCCCCCAGGCACUAUAAUGCUACCUCUGUUUGAAACUACAGCCCCGGUGGCGAAGUGCGUUAAAGCGCUGAGCUGCUGAACUUGCAGACCAAAGGUCCCAGGUUCAAACCCCGGGAGCGGUGUUAGCGGCUGCUGUUAGCUCCAGCUCCUGCCAUCCUAGCAGUUCAAAAACAUGUGGGUAGAUCAAUAGGUACUGCUCUGGCAGGAAGGUAACAGCGCUCCAUGCAGUCAUGCCGGCCACAUGACCUUGGAGGUGUCUACGGACAAUGCCGGCUCUUCGGCUUAGAAAUGGAGAUGAGCACCAACCCCCAGAGUCAGACUUGACUGGACUUAACAUCAGGGGAAAACCUUUACCUACAGUAGAGUCUCACUUAUCCAACAUAAACGGGCUGGCAGAACGUUGGAUAAGUGAAUAUGUUGGAUAAUGAGAGAUUAAGGAAAAGCCUAUUACGCAUCAAAUUAGGUUAUGAUUUUAUAAAUUAAGCACCAAAACAUCAUGUUAUACAACAAAUUUGACAGAAAAAGUAGUUCAAUACGCAGUAAUGCUAUAUACUAAUUACUGUAUUUAUGAAUUUAGCACCAAAAUAUCAUGAUGUAUUGAAAACAUGGACUACAAAAAUGCGUUGAAUAAUCCAGAACGUUGGAUAAGCGAGGCUUGGAUAAGUGAGACUCUACUGUAUACUUAUAUUUAAUGUAUUUGGUAGUUUGCCUCUGAGACUCCAAGUCUCAUAGAGCAGAAGCUGAAAAUGACUUUAGAUUGCCAAUACAAAGAAACAGCAAUCAAAACUGGAUGCUCAGUUGUCCAUUCAUUUGUGAAUCUGCUCAAGGGUGAAAUCUUAUUCUAAUGGAGUUAACCAAAGUACCAAGUCUAUCCCUGGAAUAGAGUAGCUCUGUAAAAGUUUAAACAAAAUCUCGGAUUAGAUUUACUACCUCAAUGCUAAAAAUAUCUCUAGUCAACCCUGAGUUUCAUAGAAUUCACUAAAAUAAACACAUAACCAAAGAUGAAUUUCUUCUCCAUGGGUCUUUUCACAUUAUGCAGUUAUAGCUCUAUGGUUAAAUUUCAGCUCCCAUGGUAACCUUCUAGGGAAUCCUGGAUGUGUAGAAAGAUGAGAGCUCUGGUUGAGAAUUUUAAAUGGUCCUCAACUAAACUACAAAACUCGGAAUUUCUUAGGGUAGAAUCAUGGUAGUUAAAUUGGAAAUACAGAGCUCUAACUGAACAUCAUAAAAUAUCCCUAGGUUCCACCUUAUGGAAUCUAAGGAUUUGCAAUUUAAGGAGGGAUAUCUAGUAUUCUCAGUCAGAAAGCUCACUAAGUUAUACACUUCAAUACUCCACAGUUUUGGAACGUAGAAUCAAAGUGCUAGAUUUUUUUUGUAUGAAAGAAUCCAUGGAAAUCUCCAAAAGUGAAAAUUAAGUUUUUAAACAAGUUAAGGAAGUUUCUUGCAUUAGUAAACAAUAAAAAUAUAUCUUGCUUUCAAAACCUUCCAUCCACUUCCAGGCUUUUUGGUUUUAUAUUUUGCCAUUGAGGGGAUCUAUGUGGCCUUUUGAACAUCCCAGUGCAGAAAACCAACCUUCAUACCUGUUGAAGCUACAUACCCUACAGUUUAUAGUAACACGAAAAUAAAUGAUGAGAGGGGAAGAACAACUCAUCAACACAAUCUAAUAAUAUAUUCAAGCCUCCCUCAGUUAUCAUGUGAAACUCUUAGCAUAACAUCGCUUAGGAUUUAGUGCUAUAUAUUUUGAUCUACUUUCAAUAUUUCCCAAAGUUGAUGUAGAACUUUUGGAGAUUCUGCCUGGUAAAAGAUCACAGACAUUUCCCAACUGACAAGUCUAGUCAUCUACACAACAGGAUCCCAUGUGGCAUAAAGAACUUACUUAGCAAACUAUUGUGCAUUUAAAAGCAACUGAAAUAAAUGGUCCCUCUAUUUCCAAAGUUAAUUCAAGGCAUACAAAAGGAAGAAGCAAACUAGAAGGAUUUGAGAUUUCGGUCUUGCUGAGAGGUUCCAAAAUAAUCAAAAUGUUAAAGUUGUCAGGAAGCAUCAACUUCUGCCUAGACUAAAAACUUACAUAUGUUUUAUGCCAAUUUAAGUCUCAUUAUUCCUUGGAAAAAUCCUAGGGAUUAUAAUUUGGUGAGGAUAAAAAAGAUCCUUUGUAAAAGAUAGUGCUAGUUAUUGUUCCAGCCUGACUCUUUCGUUAACUCAUUAUUCCUCCAAAAACAUCUCAUCAAAUUUAUAAUUCUUUGCAAGUUAAUAAUACUGGGCUCAGUAUGGGAGCUCUCUUCCCCAACAUAAUGUCAGGGUCUUUGAGGUUUUGAAAUGUAUUUUUGCAAGAAAAGAGCUGAUGAGAGAGAAGGGAAGGCAUAUUAACACUCUUUAAGGUUUCCUUUACUACAAAUGAUAUAGGAAAUAGAAUUUUUAAAAUCUCCCCAUAUGAAAUCAUCUUAACUGUCAUAGCUCCAGCCUACAAAAUCCUGGUAUGACUAUGAUGAUGAUAUUUAUUUACAUCCCACUUUUUUUUCCUCUUAACAGAAACUCACAACAGUGAACCAUACUAUCUAUAUAUAUAUAAAAGGGUAUUGAAAUUUCGGCCUAGGACAAAACAACACAUCCCAGAAACACUAAAGAAACACUAAACUUGGCAGCACAACCCCUCAUCCAUGCCUCGUUCAUACGUUCAUACAACAAAAAGCUCCAGCUACUCCAGAAAAUGGCCAGACUUUGAGACUGCAAGGCUAUUCACUGCUAUUCCACCUGGCCAACAAAUGAUUCCCAUAAGCCACAGCAACUCGUGGCCGGGCAAAGCUAGUAACAAUACAAUAUAACACUUAAAACCUAAAACACAUAAAUACUAAAAUAGGAUUAAAACAGGAACUAUUAAUAGUAUUUAAAACAAUUGAAAUGAUUAAAAACUUCUUAAAAUACAUAAAACACUCCACAGCAUCCCUGACUUGGUCUUAAUGUGUAGUAUAAUGAGGAGAUUAGGAAUCUAUGCUAGAGACUGCCAGUUUACUUCCUGAACUACAAUUUGUAUUCUUAUUUAAUCCUUCAUUCUACCUUCUACAGAGUGUCCCAAAGAUCUCUAUACACAGGAAAAAUUAACAAAAUCAUACAUUUCCCAUUAUAGUUCUCUCUCUAUAAAAGCCAAAAUACGGGCAUGUAUGUUUGUACAUUUAUAUGAUUGAACCACAAAGGCUCCUACUAGAGCUGUGCAUGGAAAUAUUUCCCUUUGUUUCAUUCAUCCUUCCGUUAUUUUCUUUCCUUUGGAAGCACGUAAAGGAAAGGCCCCUCCCCCUACAAAAAUCAGCUCAACAUGAAAGCAAGCAGGAGUCAAUCCUGCCUGUUUUGCCUGUUUUUCGGCACCACAGUUUAAUAUUUUUAUUAAUCCCCCCCGGAAACAAAAAAUUCCUUCUCUUCUUCCAGGAUAUCAUUGCUUUUCCUUUCCUGGAAGUGGGAAGCCUCCUUAAAAUGCCUUGGAAGGGUGUGUGGCUGCUGGUAUGCGCAUGCGCUUGCUUGCAACUGAGUGCCUCCAAUAGAGUAAGAAACAGGUUAAAGAACUUGCUUGUCUCCUUUAAAUGCCUUGGAAUGGAAAGAGUAUGUGGCUGCUGGUGUGUGGGCAUCUCUUCUAGAGUAAUAAACAGCUUUAAGAUUAGAACUUGCUUGCCUCCCUUAAAUGUCUUGGAGUGGAAAGAAUGCGUAGUUGCUGGUGUGUGUGCACCUCCUCUAGAGUAAGAAACAGCUUUAAGAACUUGCUUGUUUCCAUAAUAUGCCUUGGAAAGAGAGUUCAUUUGGCAUGCAGACCUGGGAGAGAAAACACGCUCACCUGCCUGCAGCUGAGCGCCUCUCCUCUAGAGUAGAAGAGCUUAAAUGGCUAAAAUGACAGGAAGGGGAGCCUAGGAAGCCCCCCUCCCCCAUAAUUGGCUGUUAGAAAAUGGAUCUUUUGGCACCCCAGAGUGAAAACAGAUAUCUGUGCUCCUGAUUUCGGGAGGCUCAAAAAAAAAAGUGACAGCAGCAAGGCAAGGCAAUCGGACUAAAGUACACGGAUGCAACUGAGAGUAAUGGAGGCCGCCACCAUUAAAUAAACACAGCUUGCAUAAGACAUGUCAUGACAUUCUUCUAUUCCAAUUGGCCCAAUAGGCUGGGCUCCCAGUGCAAGGAGGAGCAUGCCACGACAGCAGUGAUUGGCUGCCAUGUGGUCCUGUUACAGAUGGGAAACCAUGACGGCUGAGUCCUUGCUGUUAUGGCCAUCCGACCAAGCCAAAGAAGUCGAACUGGUCAAAGAAAAAUGGCUAAAACAUAUCCACUCACAAACCUAAAGGAAAACACCUUCCUCCCUAUGAUGGAGAAGAAAGUGCAUUUUGACGCUUCCCCUCCACUUCAGGAGGACUAUGGGUGGGGCCUGCUGUGCAUCAUCUGACUGAGCCAUCAUAGUUGAAGUGAUGUCAAACUACAUUAAUUCUACAGUGUAGAUGCACCCUGAGUGUAGUAAAGAUGACAAAAGCUAUCAGUGAAGACGAACACACAAGGUAGGAGAUGUUGCAGCAGUUUGUUUUUGCCUGCGUCUGUAGAAAAGGCCAACAUUUCACUCCCUCCUCUCCUCUUUCCUCACCAAAUUAAAUGAAUGAAAAUUAUUUUUUUCACAUGAAACACAAUUUGCAAUAAUUGAAGUAAGCUGUGAUCCAAUGGGAAAGGUGGGAGCAGAAGAGAGAAAAUGGGCUAUUUUAAAAACGGAUGAACAAGGAGAUUAUUUGGAACCAUCUCAGUUAAAUCAAAACAGUUGGAGCAUAUUUAUUACAAUGGGAAUAUCAGUCUGUAGUAAGCCUUAUAUCAGGCCCUGGGUUUUUCCUUAUGGUCAUGUUCUCUCCUGCAUGGCACUAUUUUUUUGAGAUUUCCCAGCAUUUGUACAAUGUUUCCCAGUAAUUCAUCUUAGUAGAGCCUGAAGCCUCUAGUAAGACGAAUAAUUAGCAUCAUGGGAGUUAUGGUCAGGCAGUAAGACUCUUAGGCAGAGAAUAAAUACCUUAUAAAACUUCAGUUCCCAUGAUUUCAAAGCACCGAGCCAUGGUAAUUAAAGUGGUGUCAAAUUGCAUUAAACCUACAGUGUAGAUGCACCCUCAAGUUCCAGAAAACCCAUGACAGAUUUGCUUUUGGGUCACCAUAAGUCAGAAAUGACUUGAAAGGUACACAGCAACAACAAUAAUUUUGCUCUGGAAUCUUCUUAUUUGGCUCCCCUGCCAUUUUGGUGUUACAUGCUAUUUGAAUAUUGACCUUGAGAUUUCCCUUAAAAUUGAAAUAGGAUUUUAUGCUAAAAGAGAUUAUCUACCUGUGCCUUAUAUUAAACAUUAGGCAACUGUCUCAGGAAGCAUAAUUUGGUUAAUGCUUUAGGAAGUUAAUGCAGUUAUUGAAAUGAUGCUGGAGGGAACAUAGUCUCUUGUGGUCCCAUAAGUGAGAAGUGGAAUAUGGGAGUCCCUUUUUAUACAGUAAAUGAAUAAUUUAUUUGUUAUUUCCUCUUCCCAUCUCAGCUCAUUGCCAUCAAUAUUUUUUGUCCCAGGAAUGGUGCUAUUUACUCACAUUUCAGUUCCAGAAAAGGUCAAUGUCUGUAAACAACUGCUCCACUUGAUAACUGAAGAUCAUUAGAGCUUACUGAGAUCUUGUGAGCAGCUGGGAUCUGACUUUAAGCAGCAAUUUUAAGGAAAUUCCAUCUCCCUUUUGCUCCUGUAAGGAAAAUGUAAAAAAAAAAAUGCAAGGAAACAGAGCACAUUUAAGUUGAGGUUCUCUAUAUUAUAUGUCUUUCAAUAGACUGAGCUUUGAGUCAUUUGUUUUCAGAAUAAAUAACUCCUAGUGUACAGUACUGUGGCAAUUUAGCAGACUUGUCCUAAACCACAUUGACAUAAACCACACUGUGUCCUAACCCACAUUGACAUCAACACUGAAAGUUUAACAAACACCAAGGUUAAGGAAAAUUGACAGUCUCAAUACAUCUUGGUUAAUUCAGGUACUUUGCCUGCCACACUUCCUAAUUACAUCCAUUUCUUGGUAAUGAGCCAACUCUUUUUCAUUCCUCCAUCCCAACUGCCAUUGUCUUGGCCUCAGAGGGAACAAAGAAGAGGCAAGCACAGCUCUAUCAUUCCUAGGCAAAGAAGCAGAUGAAAGGUACUCCAUCUCAAUUGCCAAUGCCCUGGCUUUAGGGAAUGAAGAAGAGGCAGACACAGGUCCAUCAUGCAGAAGUUUAGAAACAGAUUAAAAGUCUUCCCUCCAUCCCAACUGCCAUUGCCCUGGAAAGUCCAAAGGAUCAGGCAGUAGGGAUGUAAUUCUUUGCUACUUUUUUCUUGGGGGAAGAAACAAAAAAUAGUUUCUGGAAUUUACUUCUUGCUGUUGUAAAGUCUUUACAAACUACAUAGCUUUCAAAGCCUCUUUGUAAUUUGGGGCAUUAAUCUGUACAAAGUUUGCAUGGUGGUUUCUAUCCAAAUCAUCCACCUGUGAAUUUGUACAGAAUAAGUCCUCAAUUUUAGCAUAAAAUAAAGUUUACUGCACAACAAAUAAUAUUUUGUCACAGAAAUAUCAAUUUCUGCACAAAAUACUUAUGUAUAGAUUUUGUCCAGAAUAGGUCCUGAAAUGUAAAGGUUCUUGUCAGUCCAGGAUUUCUCUCAUCCAGGUUUCUCAUCACUCUUUCUUUAUUAUGGUCCAUGACCAGCAUAAAGUGGGCACAAAAGCCCUGGGAAGGGGAAAUGAAGUUCACUAUUAACCAGUUAUAAAAGAAUAGAUUAGAAAACAGUUUGAAAUCGCAGUUUAAAAACAGAGAUUAAUGUAGCAGGUAGAAGGGACUCAUCGCUCAAAAAAAAAAAAUAGCAUAGUUUGGAGUGACUCCAAAAUGACAUAGUGCAGUGGAGGAUCUUUCCAUUUGUGGUUGAGUAGCUUCAAAACCAUGCUAUCUGCUGCAUGUGAUAAUGCUUUAGUUGUUCAAUCCAAAUCAAACCCACUCAAAAAUACCUUGCAUUACAACAUGGCUAGCUAAGAAGAUAUUGUUAUUAGGAAAACGGAUGCCCCUCUAACUGCUCUGAAGAUCACAAUAAAGUUUAGACAGGACAGGUGGUUUUGCAUAAGCUGGCACAUGGUGCCAUCAUCCUGGCUUAUCAUAACAGUGAUAACAGCUCCUGGUACUCUGUCCCUUGACUCCUGGUUUUACUUUUCUCUUCAUAGUAGCUAUGUACAGUUCCCACCAGGAAGCCACAUUUUAACAAGAAAAAGAGGAGAAAUAACAAAGAAAAACAAGAUAAAUAUAGAGAAAGAAACAAGAGGGAGAGGGAGACAGGGAGAGAGAAUGACUGGGGAAGAGGAGCCACAGACAGUCAUUUGUUAAUAAUAGCCUCUCUCUUGAAAUGACAAGGGAAACUGAUACUAUAAUUUGUAAUCCUUUGUGUGUUGCUGGGCUGCAGAGCCCACCAUUCCUCACCAUUGGCUAUGUUGUUUAGGAUUAAUGAACAUUGCUAUCCAACCACAUCAUGCAAGAUGUAGAGUAAUUGUCCACCCCAAACUCUUCAAUCAACAAGUGCUAGAAGCAGGCAUUCCUUUCUAUCAGGUAAGGAUGGUAAUUCUUGAUUUUCUUCAUAUGUUGGGUGUUGUGAACAAUCCAUUUGUUUUUUUUCCCCUGAGCAUUCACGGAUGAGGAAUGAGGAAUGCCUUUACUGGGAGGUAACAGGCCACUGCGGACUAUUUGCUGGUACACUUAGCUCCUUCAUCCUAGCAGAUGCUCUACAAACCAAAAUAGGUUGCUCUCCUUACUACAGGCUAUCUGAGAACUGUACAAGGAGUGUGGUUGGAACUAGCUUUAAAACACCUAGGGGGAUUCACUAUCUCUGAGGUACCUUUCCCUCUAGGUUGGCUGUCUGCUUUGGUCUUCUGGAGUUUCUCCUUACAGAUUUGGUAGUAUUUUGUCAUGUAAAUUAUGAUGAUGUAUCCUAGUCUAAUUUUUUUGUCAUGGUUUCUCUUUAGCUCUACUGACUUCCUUAGAAACAGUACAAAUAAAUACCUGCUCAGGUGAUGCACCUGGUCACCAGAGAUAUCCAGGACCACAAAAGAGAAUUGAGCUAUGCAACAGAAAUUUAUUUCAUGAAGACCACUGGGGAUGUUGGUUUACCCUGCUUGUUUGGUAAACUAGGCUAUUUUGUAAUGGCUGAAGCCAAAAUUACUUCUUUGGGCUAUGGUCAAUUUUCUGAUACCAAACCACAGGAAAAAGAAAGAUUGUAGAAAAUGGGUUCCUAGCAGACCAAAUCUUUUGAAUUAAAGGUAGGCAAAGUGUUGCCCUAAUUUGUCUUCCCAGACGCAGCUCGUGAUACCAUUGUACUUUAUCCCCUUCCCCUUUUUUGAGAAGCACUCCUGCAAACUCUACAUAAGAGAGACAAUUCUUCAUGUUAUUCCUCUUGCAAACUAUAUUAAGUUAACAGGGCAGGAUUUUCAUUAAACCAGUAGUGAUUUUCCAUCAUGUCCUAUUUGGGUAAAGUGAUUUUUCCAAGUUGUGCUCUAUGAAUUGUUAUUCUUAUAGAGAUUCUGAAGCUAUAUCUCAAAAUUGAGAGACACAAAAAUAUAGGAAAUAAUAAUUCUACUGCACUGAUGGCAAUUGUAACUGUGCUUUACAUAGGUUGAAAUAUUUGUGGUCAUUUGAUGACACUUGGGUAUAUUUGGUCCACUGAAAAGGGUUUUUUUUUUUAUCCAAAGCUCAUUUGUGAUAUAUUUAUCUGCUAAAAAUCCUGAACUCCUUGAACCAGACUGAUUUGAAUAAACUGUUGAAAAACAGAUCUUGGUUAUGUUUCAAGGGAGUAACAUGUUUCUCAAACAUAUGUGGAAACCUUGGAAACAGAAAUAAAGAAGAAUCGUAUACCCAAGUCAUAUUUCUUCUUGAAAAAUAGACUAGUAAGUAAGAACUUCAUAGCAUGGAUAAAAACAUCUUGGAACCCAGGUGCCAUGAAGACUAUAAAUAUAGUUUAAACAUAUUGACAUUAAAGUUGCCAACUGAAUAUUCCCUGAAGCUAGGUUUGAGGUGCAUUUGGAAAGCCCGGCUUAGGCAAAAAACAUGUUGAAGAUAGCAGAAUGAAUUUCAAUUAAGAGGAGAGAAAUCCAUCUUGGAACUGAGAAAAAAUCUAAGGUAAUAAGAAUAAUAGAACAAUAGAGUAGAAGAGGACCUUAUAGGCAAACAGGUCCAACCUCUGCUCAAUGCAGGGUUUCCAGCUAAAGCAUCCCCAACAGGUAGCUAUCCAAUCCUUGUAGUAGCUGUUCCUCUGUGUUGUCCAACAAAGCAAAUAAUCUAAUAGAUGACCCCACCUUAAAAAAAAAACCCAGUUAUCCUGCAUAAGAAGAGUGCUUGGAAAGUUAUUUUUAAAUGACAACUUCCAAAAAUGUAAAAUAAUGAACAUUAGGAAGAACUUCUUCACUGUGCGAGCUUUUGGCAGUGGAACUCUCUGCCCCGGAGUGUGGUGGAGGCUCCUCCUUUGGAAGCUUUUAAGCAGAGGCUGGAUGGUCAUCUGUCGGGGGUGCUUUGAAUGUGAUUUUCCUGCUUCUUGGCAGGAGGUUGGACUGGAUGACCUGUGAGGUCUCUUCUAACUCUAUGAUUCUAACCCAAAUUUGAAGACUGAAGCCAUAUUCUUACAGUUAAUUCAAAAAUAUUACUAUGUAUCAACAUAUUGCCAUGAAUUAGAAGUUCAUAAAACAUGGUACAGUCAGACAUUAAAAUUUAGUAGAAAGGGAUUGUUAUGAAAGUGGAAAACCACAUUUUUUUAAAAAACGGCAAUUUUUGCUUCAAAUAACACCUCUCUAGAAAUCUCUAGGCUGUCCAACAUGACUAUGUGGUCAGCCUCUUUCUCUGCCCAAGAAGUGCUGUUGCCUCACCAAACUACAAAUCCCAGACUUCCAUAGCAUUGAGCCAUGAUAAUUAAAGAAUGUCAACAUGGAUAAAAAUGGAAGAAUAUCUCAGUUACAUGAAAGAUGACCCACAUUUAUAGAACAACAACCUGGAAAUAAUUUUACAUAUGAGCAGAGGGAUGGGAUAAAUGGGGAAAGAAGAGGAGGAAGCAGAAUAUGUAGAAGUGGUGGUAGUAGCAGCAUUAUCAUUAUUCUGUUAUUGUCAUAAAUCAUUAUUAUUCUUUAUUAUUGUGAUGCCGCCUGAUGAUUUCAAGGUAAGAAGAAAAAUAUCCAGGAGAAGGAGCUAUUUCAGAUUGAAGGUACCAAAGCCAUCUAUGACUUUAAAGAUUAGCACUAACAACUUCUACCCAAGAACACAUUGGUUAUUUACCCAAUUUCUGAAAUGCGGAGUUUAGGUAGAGUAAUAGUGUUGGGUGCCAUCAGCAUACUGGUGAUAUCCAGCUCCCAAACAUAAGUUAACUUCUACUUGUGGGUUCAUGUAGCCUGGAGGAUAAAAUUGAACUUUGCAAAAACCACAGGCUAUCAGAUCAAACAGUAAUCCUCCACUUCCACAUUCAGAGUUCUCCCCUUCAAGGUCCAGAACCACUGCAGAACAGUGUCCUCAAGUCCCAUCCCAGAGAGGCAGUUCAGAAGGAUACCAUACCUGAUGGUGUCAAACAAUGCUGAAAGGCCCAAUAGAAUCAACAGGAUCACACUCCCCUUGUCCAGUUAACUGCAUAGGUAAUCCAACAAGGUGACUAAAGCUGUAUUUGUCUCAUAGCUAGGACUUCAGCUAGAUUGAAAUGGUUCUAGAUAAUCAGUUUCAUCCAAGAACCUCUAUAGCUAGCACACUCUUCAGAAACUUGCUCAGAAAAAGAGUAUGGAGACCGGUCGGUAGUUAAGUUAUCCAAUGUAGUUGUGUUUGAGAAAGGUUUCUUUUUUUAGUAGGGGUCUCACUAUUAUUUGUUCUAGAUGGAACUCUGCCUUGUUGCAAUGAGACAUUCACAAUUCCCAUUGCCCACUCAGCCAGUUCCCUUCUGGUGCUUUUAUAAGCCAAGGAAGGCAAGGGUCCAGUGCACAUGUGGUGGCUCUCCAAGGAUCCUGUUCACAUCCUUUGGCUGCACAAUUUGAAACAUAUCCAUUAACCUGGUACAAGCAGGAGCCAAGAUUACACUGGGCCUAUACCAGCUACACUAUCCAAAUCAUAGUGGAUCCAAGCGAUUUAUUUGCAAAAAGAAAAGCGUUUUCUUGCCCUUAUGUUUCAGCCUCAAUACCUUUUAAAUAGCAACUGCUCUUCUUUGAGAACUAGCAUAAAGCAAUAUUUAAAGUGCUGGUACAGACAAAGCCAAGUUCAAAUCUCAGUUUAGCCAUGGAAUUUACCAUGAGAUAUUAGGUCCUCGCUACCUCUCAGCAAAUCUUUGUGUACUAGCAUACUAUUGAUAAAAAAGAUCCAGAUCCAAAAAAAUUACCUGAGUAGCUGUUGAGAGUAACUACCAUUUGAUUCAUGGAGGAAACUAACAGCAACUUUUCUUGUACUUUGCACAACUUGUAGUUCUUUCUCUUGCACUUUGUGUCCUCCCACUGGAACUUUCAGCCUCUCUUCCCUCAUUUCCAGUCUCUUGCCUUAUCGUAUGUAUUUACAACCCACCUUUGCUGCAUUUUUCUCUACUGUUUCUUGUGCUCCAUUUGUUACACCCCUCACCCCCAAUUCUCUCCUUGCUUCACCUUGAUGCAGUCAUUUCUAAUAAUGAUGAUGAUGAUGAUGAUGAUGAUUUUAUUUAUUACCUGCCUCUCCUCAUGUUACAGAAUAAUUAAAACACAUAAACUUUGUACAAAUACCACAAAUGCACAUAUUAAAAUGUAUUUCUAUAAAAUACAUAUUAAAAUACACAAAACAGAAAUUAAACAAAGGAUACUCAUUUAAAAGUAAUGCCUCAAAAAUAUCAUUUUAUGACAUGAGGGCAAUUUAGCUGUAACAUUUGUCAUCCCAUUCAUCACCAAGUUGUUGUUCCUCCUCCUCCUCCUCCUCCUCCCCCUCCCCCUCCUCUUCUUCUUCUUCUUCUUCUUCUUCCUCCUCCUCCUCCUCUUCUUCUUCUUCUUCUUCCUCCUCCUCCUCCUCCCUUCCUCCCUUCCUCCCUCUCCCUCUCCCUCUCCCUCUCCCCCCCUCUCUCUCUCUCUCUCCUCUCUUUCUCUCUGUCACAGGCAUGGUCAUUCACACAGUGAUGUGGCUGAUGUUUUAGGACAGGGCAUGUUUCCAUUCAGUUUUUCAGUCCAAGGGCUAUUGACAGAUGGAGUAAAAUGUUCUUCCCUGCAGGGAGAAAUAAACUAAAAAUCAUUUCAGUUGCUUCUUCUUCAUUCCAUGGAUAAAACUCAACUUUGUCUCUGGAUUGUCGUAAAUUUCUUCUGGGAGGCAGAGACUGAUAUCUCAGCAGCAUUAAGCCUCUUGACUGAUAGUGAGAAGAAAACAGUUCAGGACCUGCCUAUCUCCGUGAUCGCCUCCUCUCCUACGAACCAACGCGAACCCUAAGAUCAUCCGGGGAGGCGCUCCUCUCGCUCAAAUGCGGCUUGUGGGGAUGAGGGAGAGUGCCUUCUCGGCAGUGGCCCCCCAGCUCUGGAACUCUCUCCCUAAGGAGAUCAGACAGACUGGCUGCCUGGCCAUAUUUUAACAAAGAAAACAAAAGCAAUUUGAAAAGGUGACCCAGGAAUUAUGGGAAUUAUAAUUUUGAAAAGGACUAUCAAGUAAAAAGUGGGUGCUAGAAAUAAUAUCAUAUGAAAACUGCCUGGCACAAACCUGGGGAUCACAACCAGACACAGUGAAGACAUCUGCCCUUGUGCUUUGCUAAUCUGCUGCUGAAUACGCAUGUCCACUGUGGAAUGCAUCUCGUCAUGUUAAAACAGUGGAUGUGACUUUUAAUGAGACAUGCCAUAUUAUCAUAGGAUGUCUAUGCCCUACACCACUGGAGAAAUUAUACUGUUUAACCAGUAUUGCACCACCUGAUACCCAUUGGGAAGUAGCAGCCAGUAAUGAAAGCAUCAAGGCAUUGACAUCUCUAGCCUGUCCUCUGUUCAGAUAUCAGCCGACAUGCCAAUGUCUUAAAUGAAGAAACAGCUUCCUAAGAUCUACAGAGAUACUUGCAGGCACUCGGCAAGCGAGAGUCCAAAAGUGGCAGUUUAAAACCCGGAAUCUCAAUCAGUAGCUGAUAGUAAAUGGUAAAGGUUUCCCCUGACGUUAAGUCAAGUCAUGUCUGACUCUGUGGGCUGGUGCUCAUCUCCAUUUCUAAGCCGGAGAGCUGGCAUUGUCCGUAGACACCUCCAAGGUCAUGUGGUUGGCAUGACUGCAUGGAGCACCGUUACCUUCCUGCUGGAGCGGUACCUAUUGAUCUAUUCACAUUUGCAUGUUUUCGAACUGCUAGGUUGGCAGAAGCUGAAGCUAACAGCGGGCGCUCAUUCCGCUCCCUGGAUUUGAACCUGGGACCUUUCAGUCUGCAAGUUCAGCAGCUCAGCACUUGAACACACUGCGCCACCGGAGGCUCCGGCUGAUACCGGCUGAGAAAAUCCUUCCUGGGCACACAGAAGACUGGGCAACUUGGAAGGUGCUGAACAGACUGUGCUUUGAUACCAUGAGAUGCAGAGUCAAUCUUAAGAAAUGGGGUUACAAAGUAGAGUCCAUAACAUGCAAGCGUGGAGAAGAGCAAACCACAGACCACUUACUACAACGCAAGCUGAGCAUGCACAAUGGAGGACCUUCUUACAGUGACACCAGAGGCACUUGGCCACUUUCUGGUCAAAUGAAAUUUAGUAUAAUGCCAAGUGUUUGUUUUUUUAACUCUGUGGUUUUUAACUCUGUUUGUGGUUAGUUUGUGGUUUUUAUACAUUAUAACUGUAUCUUCAAUUCGCUUCUGACACUAUAAAUUACCUAUCUUUUGAGUCUAAUCAUUUUCUCUUUCUGUAUGUUCUCAAAGAACAAUUUAUUUUCAGUGUGCUGACAUUCAUGUGAAAUGUGAAACACAUGGCACCUAUGUAUAAAUAGGCGUAUAGUAUUCAUAGGUGAUGGAACAUGGGCACAGGUGUGGAUAAUGAAGCUGCACUUUGAACAUUCCCAUUUCUUAAAAUAUAUGCGCAACAAGGAACAGCUCCAUAGAAACUAAAACCUCACUAAAAAUAACAAAUGUGUUUAUAAAACUCCUUCCCUGCUGCACACACAGUAUAUUUGUACAGUUUUUUCACAAUUUCAAAUUGUUAAAAUAGUUUGAUUGGCAUAGGCUGCUGAUUGGCAUGAUUAAGUGGCUUGUAGAUUGCAUGGGUCAGUAACAGCAGCUACUUUGUAAAAAUCAAUUAUGCUGCUAAACCAGUUAGGGAUUUUCUAUGAUAAAAGGGUACCUGAAGUGUGUUUUUGUGUGUGUUUGUAUAUAUACACACAUAUACAUUUACUAAAUUGAUGGUCUUAAGUUAUACUUUUAGCAUUAACUUAAAUCCUGAAUUAUAUUAUUAAUGAAGUUAUAAAUAAUUAAAUGAGAAAUAGUUAACUGCAGAGCUAAUAAUGGUAUCUCUUGGAUUUUUGCAGAAAUACUUCUUACAUUUUUGUAUUAGUCCUUUGGGGUCAGGGAAAUUGCAAUAUUUAGGUCACAUGAUCUUGAACAAAUCAUUUUAGGUCAUGUAAGAGUUCAGCUAAUUCCAAGGUUAAAAGGUUUUAAACUAGCAUGUAGCAAUGGUAUCUUGGAACAGCAGCUUGCAUCCAUAUUAUUCUUUUGUAGUCAAUAUCAGACAGCACACUGGGGCCCCAUGUCUUUCCAGUGAAACUCAGUUUUGAAGCUCCUAGACCUGAGAUUUCUACUGGAUCAUUUGUCUAUUUCUAUUUGUCUCAAUCACCCACUGUAUGUCCCAAUCAAAAAAUAAAAGUGGGAUAUAAUACAUAUAAUAAUAGUAAUAUUGCUAAGGAGAUGAGAAAUUGAGUUUUCAAACAUUUUUGCACAUUUCCUUCUCUGCUACACUCAAGAUAUGAGCAAAGCAGUUGGGAGGUGGGAGUCCCAACAUUUUUCAGCUUUCUUCUGCUUUUAGUGCAGACAUUUAACGUUAAAUCAUGGUUUAAGAGAAGAUUCAGAAUUAGAUUCCCAAUUCUUCUAAUGUAAAUGAAAUGUAAUUACUAGUUUAAACAAGAGUUUAUUACUUUUAACCUGUCCUGCUGACUUUCCUAUAUCUAUGUUUGGCUUAAAACCAAAGAAGUUCAGCAGGAAAUAGUCAAAUUGCUGAACAGAAACCCUCCAACACCAAAUUCUUGGUUCACAUGCACAGGAAGAAAUGGACCACUGUAAAAGAGUAUCUCCAAGUCUCAUCCAAGUAGAUAAGCUCAGAGGGAUAUCAUGGGUGCAAUAAUCUGGGUUUUUGUAGUUUAAUGAGACACCAGCACUCUUUUGCAGAGAAAGCCAAGACCUUGUAAAACUACAAUGCCCAUGUUUCCAUAGCAUUGAACCAUGACAGUUAAAGUGGUAUCAAACUGCAUUAAUUCUACAGUGUAAAUACAACCAUGGUCAAUGGUAUCAAAAAGUGGCUGGUAGGUCCAGCAGAACCAACAGAGACAUACUUUCCAAUGAUUAAUCCCAAAGAAUAAUAAUAAUAAUAAUAAAAAUAAUAAUAAUAAUAAAAGAGUACAAUAAUAAUACAAGAGUACCCUGACUCACAGAAAACAGAACCUCACCUAGCUGAUCAACGAAGAUAAAACAAAGUGUUUAGUGAAGUUGAACUCGAAGAAAUUCAGAAAAUCUGCAAUGUAAAUUACCAUCAGGCCACAGUACAGACAGUAGCAGAGAGUCCAGCAACACUUGGAACGGUGGAACAGACUGAACCAGAAGAAAAUGUGGAGCUUUUGCAAGAAUUUGAAGAACCAGCACUUGAAGCACUUGUUGAACCACCAGGAACGUUGACAGCAAGACAACAAGAGCUCAAGGAUAAAAUCAUGGUUCAUGCUGCAGCAAAUGCAGUAAGAAAGCAACUCCCAACUUUAAAAACAGUGCCCAAGAGACACCUGGCACCUCUCAUGAAAGAUGUGAAUACACUACUUUCUACUGUCCAAAUAACAUCCAUUAAACAAACAAACCAGUUUGCUUACAGUACAGCAGUAACAGAUAGUAACAGAAGAGCUUGGACUCCUACAACCAAUGCAGCCUCAAAGAAAACUGAUGGGAAAACCAAAAUGGAAGGUCAGGUUGGAGUUGAAAAUCAAAAAUCUAUGAUCAGAUGUUAGUAACCUGAAAAAUAUGAAGGAGAAGAAACUGAAGAAUGACAAAAAUCAAGCAAUACCUGAUCAGCUUCUUAGCAGGGGGUUGGACUAGAUGGCCAUGUGGUCUCUUCCAACUCUACUAUUCUAUGAUUCUAGAAAGUACUGGCUGAACACCAGAAAGAGAUGUGGUCUCGAAGAUAAGUUGGACCAGAAGCAAGAAAUAGAGGUGAGGAAAAUCAAAUGCAAUGACAACCAGAAAUUUUCCACCACUUCAAAGAGCUGAAAAAGGCUAAGUGUUUGCCCACAAUGUUACACAAAGGGACCCAUUUUCUAUAUAUCCAGCAAAUAUAAUCUGCUACAUAAACAAUGAAAGUUGAAAUCAGCAGUUAUAUUCAUUAGAUUUGAACAGGAUAUCUUAAGAGAGACAGUAAUACAUUUUUGCAUAGAUGAUGUGCUGAAAUGAGUUGCUGGAGAAUACAUUAACUUUUUUUUAAAGAAGGGGGGCAAUGAAAAGCUUUAAUGAAUUCUUCCUCCUGACACUUUGAAAUGUAUACUAUCUUCCUCUCUCAUUUUUGAAAAAGUGGUUAUUUUGUAAAAGUACAUUAACCACUGAGCAUGUUAUUGUAUUACAUUAACAUGAAACCCAUAAUGAAAGUUGGUCUUUAUACUGGAACGAACAAUCACAUAAGAUACUUGAUUUCAUAUCACAUCAGCCUCUUAAUCCUAUUAUACAUACCAUAGCAAAUGGAGAGUGUAAAUGUUUGUGACAUUGCCUGCUAUUAAAAUCUAAUGUGUAUUUUCAAUGAAUAUCACUUGGCAAGCUGUCCUUUUGCUAGAGUCAUGCUUGUUUAUAUAUCUUGCAGAUAUUUUUUCCUCAUUUUCUUUUGAACUAGUGUAGAACCUAGGACUAGAAUUGCAUCCCAACAACAGGACGCAAGAAGCCCAGAAUGCUUUUCAGAUGAGUUAGUGGAGCCUGACAUUUCUUCUGUCUGUGUAAAACUUCAAAUAAUAGAAAACAUCUGCUGAACAUCUCAACUCUCUCUCAAAUGCUGAUCUCUCUAAAACUUGAAGUGAGAAACAGAUGCUUGGAAAAAUUAUCUUUGGGCCUGUAAUUCCUAGCAUGUCACAGCCAUUGGCAAAUUUGGCAACCCAAAGGAUUUUGUAUUGUUCUGGUUAAGGAGAUGCUUGGUUUAGUAGUUUAUGUGUUGGACUAUGACUCUAGGAAACUAAUUUUCAGUUCAGCCAUAGAGACCCAUUUGGUGACCCUGUGUGGUACA